rnacentral:lncRNA from 12 species
CACAGGCUGCUCCAAUCUGGCCGUGGAGACGUGAGGGAGGAUCAUGGGGAGACAGUUGUAUGGAGUCCAGUGUGGGAUGAAUCCAUCAACAGAAGGAAGAGAACAGCCUCCUUGCCUUGCCAGAUAAGGAUUACAAAAAAUUUUUUAAAUCUUGCCUCAAUCGGAAUCCCUGGGUGGCGCAGCGGUUUGGCGCCUGUCUUUGGCGCAGGGCACGAUCCUGGAGACCCGGGAUCGAAUCCCACAUCAGGCUCCCGGUGCAUGGAGCCUGCUUCUCCCUCUGCUUGUGUCUCUGCCUCUCUCUCUCUCUCUCUGUGUGACUAUCAUAAAUAAAUAAAAAUAAAAAAAAAAUUAAAUCUUGCCUCA